rnacentral:sRNA from 1 species
UAUGUUAACAUUGAAUGCCUGAUCAUC